rnacentral:rRNA from 1 species
UAAACUAGGAUUAGAUACCCUAUUAUAUUAAUUUUAUAAAAAACUUAAUUAUUAAAUGUAAAACAUUAAAAUUAUAAGAUAUGGCGGUUAUAUAAAAUUUUAGGGGAACUUGUAUAUUAAUUUGAUGAUCCACGAUAAUAAAUACUAAUAAAAUAUUAAAAAUUACUUUUGUAUUGUUGUUUAAAGAUUUUAUAUAAAUAUUAUAAUUUAAAUUUUUUAAAAGAAAAAGUAAUUCAAAUCAAAAUAAAGUAUUUAUUAGAUAAUAUGAGUUACAUUAAUAAAAAAUUUUGUAAAUUAAAUAUUUUAAUAUUUUUAAUAAAUAGGAUUUAAAAGUAAAAUUAAUAAAUAUAUUAAUUUGAAUUUUUUUUAUAUAAUGUACAAAUUGCCCGUCAAUUUCAAUAAAAAUUGAAAUAAGUCGUAACAAAGUAAGAAUAUUGGAAAAUGUUCUUAGAAUAAA